AUUGAACGCUGGCGGCAUGCCUUACACAUGCAAGUCGAACGGCAGCACGGGUGCUUGCACCUGGUGGCGAGUGGCGAACGGGUGAGUAAUACAUCGGAACGUACCUUAUCGUGGGGGAUAACGCAGCGAAAGCUGUGCUAAUACCGCAUACGCCCUGAGGGGGAAAGCGGGGGAUCGCAAGACCUCGCGCGAUUAGAGCGGCCGAUGCCUGAUUAGCUUGUUGGUGGGGUAAAAGCCCACCAAGGCGACGUUAAGUAGCUGGUCUGAGAGGACGGUCAGCCACACGGGGACUGAGACCCGGCCCAGACAACUACGGGAGGCAGCAGUGGGGAAUUUUGGACAAUGGGGGCAACCCUGAUCCAGCAAGGCCGCGUGAGAGAAGAAGGCCUUAGGGUUGUAAAGCUCUUUUGUCAGGGAAGAAACACCGGCUCUAACACAGUCCGGGAAUGACGGUACCUGAAGAAUAAGCACCGGCUAACUACGUGCCAGCAGCCGCGGUAA
rnacentral:rRNA from 1 species